UGACGCAGCGACGCCGCGUGCGGGAUGAAGGCCUUCGGGUUGUAAACCGCUUUCAGUAGGGAAGAAGCGAAAGUGACGGUACCUACAAAAGAAGCACCGGCUAACUAUGUGCCAGCAGCCGCGGUAAUACAUAGGGUGCAAGCGUUGUCCGGAAUUAUUGGGCGUAAAGAGCUCGUAGGUCGUUUGUUACGUCGGAUGUGAAAAUCUGAGGCUCAACCUCAGACCUGCAUUCGAUACGGGCAAACUAGAGUUUGGUAGGGGAGACUGGAAUUCCUGGUGUAGCGGUGGAAUGCGCAGAUAUCAGGAGGAACACCAACGGCGAAGGCAGGUCUCUGGGCCAUUACUGACACUGAGGAGCGAAAGUGCGGGGAGCGAACAGGAUUAGAUACCCUGGUAGUCCGCGCCGUAAACGGUGGGUACUAGUUGUGGGAACCUUCCACGGUUUCCGCGACGCCGCUAACGCAUUAAGUACCCCGCCUGGGGAGUACGAUCGCAAGAUUAAAACUCAAGG
rnacentral:rRNA from 1 species